ACGAACGCUGGCGGCGUGCUUAACACAUGCAAGUCGAGCGGAAAGGCCCCUUUGGGGGUACUCGAGUGGCGAACGGGUGAGUAACACGUGAGUAACCUGCCCUUGACUUCGGGAUAACUUCAGGAAACUGGGGCUAAUACCGGAUAGGAAUCCUUGCUGCAUGGUGGGGGUUGGAAAGCUUCGGCGGUUUUGGAUGGACUCGCGGCUUAUCAGCUUGUUGGUGGGGUAGUGGCUUACCAAGGCUUUGACGGGUAGCCGGCCUGAGAGGGCGACCGGCCACAUUGGGACUGAGAUACGGCCCAGACUCCUACGGGAGGCAGCAGUGGGGAAUAUUGCACAAUGGGCGGAAGCCUGAUGCAGCAACGCCGCGUGCGGGAUGACGGCCUUCGGGUUGUAAACCGCUUUCAGCAGGGGCGAAGCUUGUGGUGACGGUACCUGCAGAAGAAGCACCGGCUAACUACGUG
rnacentral:rRNA from 1 species